UACGGGGGGAGCUAGCGUUGUUCGGAUUUACUGGGCGUAAAGGGCGCGUAGGCGGUCAGCACAAGUCAGUUGUGAAAUCUCCGGGCUUAACUCGGAAAGGUCAACUGAUACUGUGCGACUAGAGUGCGGAAGGGGCAACUGGAAUUCUCGGUGUAGCGGUGAAAUGCGUAGAUAUCGAGAGGAACACCUGCGGCGAAGGCGGGUUGCUGGGCCGACACUGACGCUGAUGCGCGAAAGCGUGGGGAGCGAACCGG
rnacentral:rRNA from 1 species